rnacentral:rRNA from 1 species
GUGGAUUAGAUACCCUGGUAGUCCACGCUGUAAACGAUCGAUACUAGGUGUGGGAGGACUGACCCCUUCCGUGCCGCAGCUAACGCAAUAAGUAUCGCACCUGGGGAGUACGAUCGCAAGGUUGAAACUCAAAGGAAUUGACGGGGGCCCGCACAAGCGGUGGAGUAUGUGGUUUAAUUCGAAGCAACGCGAAGAACCUUACCAGGGCUUGACAUCCCGAUGCCCGGUAUAGAGAUAUACCUUUUUCUUCGGAAACAUCGGUGACAGGUGGUGCACGGUUGUCGCCAGCU